GGGACCUCCCUGGAACUACACAGGCCAUGGGUGAGUAAACAAGAGGCGCUUGAACCUGGAGCCCCCCGGCCUGAACCUGGAGCUGUUCUUACCGAACAAAUAUUAAUCAUGGCAAUUGGGAAAUAACUGAGCACCAACCCUGGCCCAGGCAUUCAACAUCUUGCCAUCCUGAGGUGGUGGCUGAUGCCUGGAAUCCCAGCACUUUGGGAGGCCGAGGCAGGUGGAUUGCUUGAGCCCAGGAGCUCGAGAACAGCCUGGGCAACAUGAGCUUCCUCCUCCCACAGAUUCCUCCCAUCUUCCCAGAGGAAUUCAGCCCAUUUCACAGAAGAACAAACAAAGGCACCGAGGGAAAAACACACACACAGGUAGAGGCAAAUUCAAACCUGGGGGUGUCAGACUCCCAGCCCCGUGCCCACCGCUGGGAGGGCGCUCCAAGGGACAGGGAAUGAGCUGGCCUGGCAACUCCCACCCCCUCCUGCCCAGGACCUCGCCCGAGAACAGGUUCACCCCUGGCGUGGGUGAUGGUAUGUGGGUCAGGGUGUGCCCUAAGUGGCCCCAAUGGUGAGACCAGGGUGGCGAUGCCCCAUCCCAGCCAUUGCAGCUUGGUCCUAUGUUUUACUCCCUGUCCCCAUGCCCUCAGCCCCAAUAUCAGAGUGUCAUCAUCAACCCAUUUUGCAGUGCAGUAAACUGAGGCUGAGAGGAUAGCAAGGCACUGUGGGAGGGUCUCCAAACCCAAUGCUGUCUUGACCCCAAUCCACCCACAUGUUAAGCAAAAGAGUGAAUCACCAUUGGACAAAAUGUGGGCUGGGUGAGUUCAGAAUCUGUAAAAUGCAGGGUCCGAAGCUCCCAAUCUCAAUUUUCAAAAGAGGAAACCGAGGUUCAGAAAGGUGCUGUCACCUGCCCAAGGUCACCAGUGAAGCAGGUCCAUUCGACACUGCCUCCUGGUCCCCAGUGCAGCUGGGGCAGGUGACUCGGGGGAUCCAAGGCAGAUGGAGGGGUCCCCCACCCCCCAAGCCUCCUCCGCACCCCACUCACAGCCAGCCUCUGGCAAGAUCCUAAUUUACCUCGAUUUAUUUUAAUCCCCAGGAACAGAUGCUAGCUGUACACCCCGCCCCUCAGUAAAAGAGGGACCCCCCCCCCCAAGUCCAGGCUCCAGGCCCUUCAAGGCCUGGCCUGGAUAAACCGUGCCAGGCAGGGGACCCCACAGUGACCUCCUCCCCAAAAUUCCAACCUUGGGGUCCCCACAGAAGAUGCCAGUGAAACGCCCCCCACCCCAUCCUUAAGGUGGGGGACUGGGAUGGGGCAGAUUAGAGGAGGGGCCAGGUGACACCUCAGCUCCUCCAGCCACCAGGCCUGGAUAGGGGUUCACAGUGGAGGAAAAGGGAAGGGGUCCUUCGUCUCGGUCCCCGGUGGUCUGCAGGCCGGAGCUGGGAAGAGGGAAUUUGCGGGUGGUCCCCAUCUCAGCCACCGCCCAGGGUUCCAGGCUGGAAGGGGAGCGGCGCCCCCAUCUUUGCAGCCCCAGAACCCAGACCUAGGCUUAGAAUAAAAGAAUUUGGGGAGGGGUCUCGCGUCGUCGCCGCCCCCGUGCACGCUCGGUUCUAGGCCAGGAGACGGGAGAUUUGGGGAGCGGUCCCCAUUUCCGCCUGCGGACCCCCAAUUACCACUUGCGGGGGGGAAGCCGGGGCGCCCACCGCGUAGCCCCAACCCCCUGCUCUCCAUCCCUCGCGUCCCGCCGCGCCUUUGCCCUCCGCAGCCGCCGGGGCUGCAGGGCACGGAGCGCGUGGGAGGCUGCGCGGGCCAGGGUAUCCCAGGGGGUUCCGGGGGGCAACACUCACCUCCUGAGCUCGGGCCGAGCCCCGCGCUCGCCGCCACCUGCGGCUUGGUCGCUGACACCCGAGCCCGCCCCGCCCCUCCCUCCGCGGCUGCGGCGCGGCUGCCGGCGGGCUCCGCCCCCGGGGCGUGGCCUAGAAAGUCCCCACCCCCGCGACGGCGCCAGGAGGCAGGGCGGGCUCUGAUCCCGCGCGGUCCCCCAUUGGGCCAUUUAGGCGUCCAGCUCCGCCAGCUCAGCGCGCUGAUUGGUCCAGCCGAAGACUAGGCUCCUUUUUAUGUUCCCCCCGCUUACGCCACCCGCAGUCUAUUUGCAUAAUUUAAAGAGACAGGCGCCACUACUUCGCCCUGAGACUCAGUGGUAAGGAGUAAGGAGCGACCAACGUUUAUUGAGCGAACAGGCAGGGCUCAGUUGAUGACCCCCCACAAGCCUGUAACCUGGACAUUAUUGGUCUUUAUUUUACAAAUGGGAAAUCUGAGGCUCAGAGAGGGCAAGAUCUUGCUUGGAGGCCACACAGCAAGUCUGCAGCCGGCCUAGGGCAGCCCCGGGAUCCGGCACCUUGCAGAGGAGGUCAUCCCCUCAUAUGCCAUGUGAUAGUUCUUUUUUGGAGUUCGAACUCGAUCGCUUGAGGUUAGGAGUUCGAGACCAGCCUGACCAACAUGGUGAAACCCUGUCUCUACUAAAAAUACAAAAAUUAGCUGGGCAUGGUGGCAGGCGCCUGUAAUCUCAGCUACUUGGGAGGCCGAGGCAGGAGAAUCACUUGAAUCCGAGAGGCGGAGGUUGCAGUGAGCCGAGAUCACAUCACUGCACUCCAGCCUGGGCGACAAGAGUGAGACUUCGUCUU